rnacentral:rRNA from 1 species
AGUGAACGCUGGCGGUAGGCCUAACACAUGCAAGUCGAACGGCUGCACAGUAAUAGCUUGCGCUUACGGGUGGCGAGGGGCGGAUGGGUCCGGAAUACAUCCGUAUCAACUUUUUCGUAGGUGAUAACGUGGGCGCAAUUACGCCAAUACUCCAGACGACGUACGUGUGGAAGCUGGGGAUCUUCCGACCUUAGGCGAGUGUAUGAGGCGAGGUCGGAUUAGCUAGUUGGCGGGGUAAAGGCCCACCAAGGCGACGAUCCGUAGCUGGUCUGAGAGGAUGAUCAGCCACACUGGAACUGAGACACGGUCCAGACUCCUACGGGAGGCAGCAGUGGGGAAUAUUGGACAAAGGGCGAAAGCCUGAUCCAGCCAUGCCGCGUGGGUGAAGAAGGUCUUCGGAUUGUAAAGCACUUUUGGUGGGGAAGAAAGGCAGUAAGUUAAUACCUCGCUGUUUUGACGGUACCAAAAGAAUAAGCACCGGCUAACUUCGUG